AAUAGAUACCCUGGUAGUCCACGCCGUAAACGUUGGGCACUAGGUGUGGGGUCUAUUCAACGGACUCCGUGCCGUCGCUAACGCAUUAAGUGCCCCGCCUGGGGAGUACGGCCGCAAGGCUAAAACUCAAAGGAAUUGACGGGGGGCCCGCACAAGCAGCGGAGCAUGUUGCUUAGUUCGAGGCAACGCGAAGAACCUUACCUGGGUUUGACAUGUAGAGAAAAGCCAUAGAGAUAUGGUGUCCUUGGGGUUCUACACAGGUGGUGCAUGGUUGUCGUCAGCUCGUGUCGUGAGAUGUUGGGUUAAGCCCCGCAACGAGCGCAACCCUUGUCCUAUGUUGCCAGCACGUCAUGGUGGGGACUCGUAGGAGACUGCCGGGGUCGAACUCGGAGGAAGGUGGGGACGACGUCAAAUCAUCAUGCCCCUUAUACCCAGGGCUGCAAACAUGCUACAAUGGCCGGUACAAAGGGCUGCGAAACCGCGAGGUGGAGCGAAUCCCAUAAAGCCGGUCUCAGUUCGGAUUGGAGUCUGCAACUCGACUCC
rnacentral:rRNA from 1 species